AGGGGGACCUGCGGAAGGAUCAUUGAAUCGAUCGAAUCCACUCUGUGAACCAAACGUCCCCCCUUGGGUGCGGGCUUCGGUCUGCCCCAAGGCGUCGGUUCCCUGGCUGGGGUCUUCGGACCGCAGUUAGGUCCGGCGGGCGCGCCCUCUGGCGUGUCGGCCCUCGUGGCUGCCGCCAGUUGGGUUCGCUGGAAAUUGUAUCCAACUCAACCCCACCCCAAACCACAACUUAUACUGAAGCAAUCGGUGAGUGCACUCUGGUGCCUCGCUCUAACCAAAGACAACUCUCAACAACGGAUAUCUUGGCUCCCGUAUCGAUGAAGAACGCAGCGAAAUGCGAUACGUAGUGUGAAUUGCAGAAUUCCGUGAACCAUCGAAUCUUUGAACGCAAAUUGCGCCCAAGGCUUCGGCCGAGGGCAUGUCUGCCUCAGCGUCGGCUUACCCCCUCGCUCCCCCUCUCCUUUGGAGUGGGUGAACGGAUCUGGUUUUCCCGGCUACGUGCUUCUGCACGCCCGGGUUGACUGAAGUGUAGAGGCUUGAGCAUGGACCCCGUUUGUAGGGCAAUGGCUUGGUAGGUAGCUUAGCUACACCGCCUGCCGUGGUCCGAGGGGACUUUGCUGGCGGCCCAGCAGGAAUUCGGGUGUUGGGUUUCCCACCCCGAAAGCUUCAAACCUUCGACCUGAGCUCAGGCAAGACUACCCGCUGAACUUAA
rnacentral:rRNA from 1 species